GAUGAACGCUGGCGGCGUGCCUAAUACAUGCAAGUCGAGCGAACAGACGAGGAGCUUGCUCCUCUGACGUUAGCGGCGGACGGGUGAGUAACACGUGGAUAACCUACCUAUAAGACUGGGAUAACUUCGGGAAACCGGAGCUAAUACCGGAUAAUAUAUUGAACCGCAUGGUUCAAUAGUGAAAGACGGUUUUGCUGUCACUUAUAGAUGGAUCCGCGCCGCAUUAGCUAGUUGGUAAGGUAACGGCUUACCAAGGCAACGAUGCGUAGCCGACCUGAGAGGGUGAUCGGCCACACUGGAACUGAGACACGGUCCAGACUCCUACGGGAGGCAGCAGUAGGGAAUCUUCCUCAAUGGGCGAAAGCUUGACGGAGCAACGCCGCGUGAGUGAUGAAGGUCUUCGGAUCGUAAAACUCUGUUAUUAGGGAAGAACAAAUGUGUAAGUAACUAUGCACGUCUUGACGGUACCUAAUCAGAAAGCCACGGCUAACUACGUG
rnacentral:rRNA from 1 species